rnacentral:lncRNA from 1 species
AUGUUUUCUAUUAUCUUUUCGUUCAACCUGUUAGUUCAUUUUAUUUGUUUUAACAUGCCAAGAAAUUAUUUUAUGACAUGUGUUGAGGGUUGUAUUUGGACUCUUAUUUGUGCUUGUAGCUUCAGCUUUCUUUUGAAUUCUUUCUCCUAAAUUUCUGAUACUUGUACUGUCAUGUAUGAGCUCAGUGUGGGAUAGUUAGUCUCACUUUAGGUUUUUUUGAGUAAGAUAUUACAAUCUUAGUGAUAUUAAAAUUCCAAAGUAAUCUCCACAAAUGAUUUAGUCUGUUUCGAGUUUUGUCCUUUAAAAAUAAAUAAACUCUUUCAGUUUAAUCUGUAUCAUUGGUAUGUGCAUAUCUUUGAAAUCAUAUUAAGUGUUUUGACUAAAAAUUGGAUUUCAUUACAUUUUGAUAGGAGAGAACAACUAUGUAUAAAUUGUGAUAAGGCUGAACAUUGCAGCAUAGUAUUAAGAUUGGAUUUCAGUUUAUGUUAAAAAUGUGCAAAAGAAAACUUGGGCUAGCAUGAGGCAACGUGGCUGCUGGGCCUCGAAUGAGGCCAGACAUAUGCCCAAGUCGAAUUUUAUUUUAAUUAGAUUUGAUGUUUUAACUCAAAGUUGUCUUAUGUCAAUUUCAGGUUUCUGUUCAUAUGGUGUCAAUCAGGUUUAAUUAUGAUUUUGAUUUUCGUAUCACUGUUUAGUUUGGGAUUAAAAC